CCUACGCGUAGAAGUGGGGGAUCUUCGGACCUCACGCUAUUAGAUGAGCCUAGGUCGGAUUAGCUAGUUGGUGAGGUAAUGCCGAUCCAAGGCGACGAUGUAGCUGGUCUGAGAGGAUGCAUCACACUGGAACUGAGACACGGUCCAGACCCAUGAGGAGGCAGCAGUGGGGAAUAUUGCGACAAUGGGCGAAAGCCUGAUCCAGCCAUGCCGCGUGUGUGAAGAAGGUCUUCGGAUCCAGUGACACUUUAAGGGAGGAAGGGCAGUUACCUAAUACGUGAUUGUUUUGACGUCCAUGAAAUAAGCCGGCUAACCCAAAUGACCGUAGAGCCGCGGUACAGAGGGUGCAAGCGUUAAUCGGCCAUGAUUAAAGCGCGCGCCAGGUGGUUUGUUAAGUCUAGUAGGGAUGAAAGCCCCGGGCUCAACCCCGAUCCAAAACUGGCAAGCUAGAGUAUGGUAGAGGGUGGUUAGUGUUGGAAUUUCCUGUGUAGCGGUGAAAUGCGUAGAUAUCCAGUGUGGCGAAGGCGACCACCUGCCAGGACUGAUACUGACACUGAGGUGCGAAAGCGGGGAGCAAACCAGUCAGGAUUAGAUACCGUAGUGAUGUCAACCCAGUA
rnacentral:rRNA from 1 species